rnacentral:rRNA from 1 species
GAGUUUGAUCCUGGCUCAGGAUGAACGCUGGCGGCGUGCUUAACACAUGCAAGUCGAACGAAGCGCCUUAUUUGAUUUUCUUCGGAACUGAAGAUUUGGUGACUGAGUGGCGGACGGGUGAGUAACGCGUGGGUAACCUGCCCUGUACAGGGGGAUAACAAUCAGAAAUGACUGCUAAUACCGCAUAAGACCACAGCACCGCAUGGUGCAGGGGUAAAAACUCCGGUGGUACAGGAUGGACCCGCGUCUGAUUAGCUGGUUGGUGAGGUAACGGCUCACCAAGGCGACGAUCAGUAGCCGGCUUGAGAGAGUGAACGGCCACAUUGGGACUGAGACACGGCCCAAACUCCUACGGGAGGCAGCAGUGGGGAAUAUUGCACAAUGGGGGAAACCCUGAUGCAGCAACGCCGCGUGAGUGAAGAAGUAUUUCGGUAUGUAAAGCUCUAUCAGCAGGGAAGAAAGUGACGGUACCUGACUAAGAAGCCCCGGCUAACUACGCGCCAGCAGCCGCCGCGGU